rnacentral:lncRNA from 1 species
GCAUUCAUACCUAACCCCAAACCCUAGCCGCUAGAACCCUCGCCGGAGAAGACGACCCAGCCACCGGAGGAACCGGCCGCCGCCACUCGCUGCCGCACCGGAGGACUUUCCGGUCGCCAAACGAGGUAAAAUUUCUCUCCUUGGCUCGUUUUUCCAUGUCGAACCUCCCUAUGGCCAAAUCAGAGCCAAACCACCAGUCGAUAGGCUGAAAAACACCAUCGAAGUCCAUCGGCACCACCGCGGGUUUCCUCAAUUUUUGCCUCCGAUGAGGCCCAACUCGUUUCCAGUUCGAUGUAAUUUUUAUACCACUGUGACCACCGUCUUUUUCUCUACAGGUUGACCGGAGCAAAACACCGAAUUGCAACUCGCGCCGGAGGAGCCGCCCUACCCUAGAGCUUCACCACCGGUAAGUCUCGAUUUUCUAGAAUUUUUUAGCCCAUCGAGGGCUCUAGGGGUGUUUUAUCACAGGAACCAAUGCAGGUUUGGCCGAAUUCAGCUGAAAAUGGCCAACUCGAGGCGGAUCGCCGCCGUGGGCGACAGCAGCAACGCCGGAGCACGGCGGAGCUGCCGUGCCGGAAUUUCGAAAUUGGCCGAAAGGGCCCUAGGUCUGAUUUGGAAUUUUUUGGGGACAUGUACA